rnacentral:rRNA from 1 species
UACGGAGGGUGCAAGCGUUACUCGGAAUCACUGGGCGUAAAGCGCGCGCAGGCGGGCUGAUAAGUUGGAUGUGAAAGCCUACGGCUCAACCGUAGAACUGCAUCCAAAACUGUCAGUCUAGAGUCUGGGAGGGGAAGAUGGAAUUAGUUGUGUAGGGGUAAAAUCCGUAGAGAUAACUAGGAAUACCAAAAGCGAAGGCGAUCUUCUGGAACAGUACUGACGCUGAGGCGCGAAAGCGUGGGGAGCAAACAGGAUUAGAUACCCUGGUAGUCCACGCCCUAAACGAUGAAUGUUAGUCGUCGGAGGCCUAGUGUCUUCGGUGAUGCAGCUAACGCAUUAAACAUUCCGCCUGGGGAGUACGGUCGCAAGAUUAAAACUCAAAGGAAUAGACGGGGACCCGCACAAGUGGCGGAGCAUGUGGUUUAAUUCGAAGAUACGCGAAGAACCUUACCUAGCCUUGACAUAUAUUAGAACUCUGCAGAGAUGCGGAGGUGCCUUCGGGAGCUUUUAUACAGGUGCUGCACGGCUGUCGUCAGCUCGUGUCGUGAGAUGUUGGGUUAAGUCCCGCAACGAGCGCAACCCUCGUCACUAGUUACUAACGGUUCGGCCGAGGACUCUAGUGAGACUGCCUUCGCAAGGAGGAGGAAGGUGAGGACGACGUCAAGUCAUCAUGGCCCUUACGGCUAGGGCAACACACGUGCUACAAUGGGCAGGACAAUGAGACGCGAUACCGCGAGGUGGAGCAAAUCUAUAAACCUGUUCUCAGUUCGGAUUGUAGUCUGCAACUCGACUACAUGAAGCUGGAAUCACUAGUAAUCGUAGAUCAGCUAUGCUACGGUGAAUACGUUCCCGGGUC